CCCUGAUUAGCUCAGUUGGUACAGCGCUCCACUAAAAAUGGAGAGGUCCCGGGUUCGAAGCUUGAACCAGGCG
rnacentral:tRNA from 1 species